UAGGGAAUCUUCCACAAUGGACGCAAGUCUGAUGGAGCAACGCCGCGUGAGUGAAGAAGGUUUUCGGACCGUAAAGCUCUGUUGUUGGUGAAGAAGGAUAGAGGUAGUAACUGGCCUUUAUUUGACGGUAAUCAACCAGAAAGUCACGGCUAACUACGUGCCGAGCAGCCGCGGUAAUACGUAGGUGGCAAGCGUUGUCCGGAUUUAUUGGGCGUAAAGCGAGCGCAGGCGGAAGAAUAAGUCUGAUGUGAAAGCCCUCGGCUUAACCGAGGAAUUGCAUCGGAAACUGUUUUCUUGAGUGCAGAAGAGGAGAGUAGAACUCCAUGUGUAGCGGUGGAAUGCGUAGAUAUAUGGAAGAAUACCAGUGGCGAAGGCGGCUCUCUGGUCUGCAAACUGGACGCUGAGGCUCGAAAGCAUGGGUAGCGAACAGGAUUAGAUACCCUGGUAGUCCAUGCCGUAAACGAUGAGUGCUAAGUGUUGGGAGGCUUCCGCCUCUCAGUGCUGCAGCUAACGCAUUAAGCACUCCGCCUGGGGGAGUACGACCGCAAGGUUGAAAC
rnacentral:rRNA from 1 species